rnacentral:lncRNA from 1 species
AAAUAAUGCAAAAAAAUCAACAAAAUUUAGGUACUUUUUAAAGGACUGAAUAAUUGAUAUCUCUCUUAAAUAUAGCAUUAUCUUGUUAUAUUUUGCAAAGAACAUUAUAAAAAAAAGAAAAAAUGCAUUUUGACAUACUUUUUACAUUUUGGCAGGUUGCCAGAGAGAUUCGUGCAACAGAUGUAUUAGAUAACUUGCAGGUAGUACAUGUUCUCAGUAGGUGUUUUCUCUCAAGAUUAUUUUUUUUUUUUAAACUUUUAGAUAUUUUUUUAAAGGUGCAUAUCAGUUCUAAGACAAGUAAAAAAAUUUAGCCUGGCAAAUAAUGGGAAGUUAGUAAAAAAUGCCUCCCAAAUAUCUAUAAAAUGCACUAUUGUAAUAGUUUUUGGCCCUUAACAUUUUAACUAAAACUGAUCAAAGUAGACUUAUAUUUCGGACAAUAACUUUAGUUUAAGUGUAUAGAUCUUUAUGAUUUUUUUUUUCAGAAGGUUCAAUACCACAAAAGGAAGCUUUGGAACGAUUUUGGGGAUGAUGGUCCCUACCGUUUAGGAAUUUAGGGCCCAAAAGGGGCCCAAAACAAGCAUUUUAUAGUUUAAGGAAAAUAACUUGUGUAUAAGUAUUUCAAUUGCUCUGAUAUUGUAUCAUAAUGUUUAAAACCACAAGUAAAAGGUUUGGAUUCCUUUAAAUGGGUCAUGGAAUCAAAGUUAGGAAUAAAGGUCCAAAAAGGGGCCCAAAACAAGCAUUUUUCUUAUUUCAAGACGAUAACUUGUGUGUAAUUGUAUGGAUCUCUUUCAAACUGUACCACAAUACUCCAUAUAACAAAGGGGAGGCUGGGAUUUAGUUUUGGAUUAAUUGCCCAAAAUAUGUAGGAAUAAGGGGCCGAAAAAGGGCAGAAAAGAAGCACAUUUCUAGUUUCCAAACAAUAACUUGGGUUUAAGUUCAUGUAUAUGGAUCUCUCUGUAAUUGUACUACAAGGUUCUAUACUAAAAAGGAAAGGAUGAGAUUGUUUUUAAGGGUUAUUGCUGAAAGGGGUGUAUCAAUAAGUUGGGGGGGGGGGCAAUUUGUUAAAAAAAAAUUAAGGGAUUUCUUUUUUUUUUUUUAUUUUUCAAAUUUCAAAUUUUAAAAAUUUUCAAGAAGAAAUCUUCAAUUGCACAGUAUUGUGCAAUAAAUUUGUUGAUCUUUGGCCACAUUUAUUUUGUAACAAAAACCUUUUUUUUGUCAAAAAUUCAAUCACAAUCCAAAUUCAGACAGCAUCAAGCUUGAACAUUGUGACCAUAUUUAAUUUGCCCCAACUGUUCAGAGUCCAACCACUGCGGUUGUAUAAAGCUGCGCCAUGUGGAGCACCUGGUUUUCACAUACUUUCAAUUGAUGACAGUCUUUUAAUAAGCUUGUUAUAUGAAACAGAGUUGUGAACAUACAUUUUUGUACUUGUACUUCAAAAAAUCUUCCUCUUUGAAACUUUUGAUUGGAAUGCAACCAAUUAUAGGGCC